AGCAGCGGAGCGGAGACACCGACAGGAGACCGACAGGAGACCGACAGGAGACCGGCGUCUGUGUGACUCUACCCGAUAUUAAAUGUUGCUUCCUGCCCGCUGCUCAUCGUCGUUUGAGGAGGAGCAUGGCGGGGGAGGCGGCGCCACCUGAGCCGUUCGCCUUCCGGUGUCGACAAGGCUGCAUGUGAGAACAUCUGGAUCUUGAGGUGUUUUCAUCAUGGCGGUCUUCUGGAGGCCGUCACCUGUCGACAUACAGGAGAACUGACUUUCUGUCGUCUCGUGGCGGCGCACGAUGUCCUUGGACGCUGCUGUGAACAGUGACGAUGGCCGCCGGUGGAACUGGCUGGAUGUGAGAACAUCUGGAUCUUGAGGUGUUUUCAUCAUGGCGGUCUUCUGGAGGCCGUCACCUGUGGAAGUACAGGAGGGUGGACGUUAUCGCUGGCAGUGCUUUCCUCACUUCUGUCCAUCCAAAGGAACCGCUGAUGUCUGGUCGACCACGAUCGAGGAGCUGCCGUCGAUCCAGAAGGAUCGUUCUUAUCCAGACGCAUCGUGUAAAAUGUUCCACUGACGCUGAAUACAGAAUGAAAUAAAGGCAUCAGUGUGAA